rnacentral:RNase_P_RNA from 13 species
GGCGGAGGGAAGCUCAUCGGUGGGGCUACGAGCUGAGUGCGUGAUGUCACUCUGUAGCACGUCCCUUGGGAAGGUCUGAGACUGGGGCCAGUGGCGGUCCUAACAGGGCCCUCCCUGAACCGCGGGGAGGUGAGUUCCCAGAGAGCGGGGCUCCGCGCAAGGGCAGACUGGGCAGGAGAUGCCGAGUAUCUCGCCCUCGGGAGGGGCUCGGCGGAUGCCUCCUUAGCCGGAGCUUGGAACAGACUCACGGCCAGCAAAGUGAGUUCAAUGGCUGAGGUGAGGCACCCGGCCCGGGGCCUCAUAACCCAAUUCAGACUACUCUCCCCCGUC